rnacentral:rRNA from 1 species
GACGAACGCUGGCGGCGUGCUUAACACAUGCAAGUCGAACGGAAAGGCCCUGCUUUUGUGGGGUGCUCGAGUGGCGAACGGGUGAGUAACACGUGAGUAACCUGCCCUUGACUUUGGGUUAACUUCAGGAAACUGGGGCUAAUACCGGAUAGGAGCUCCUGCUGCAGGGGGGGGGUGGGAAAGUUUCGGCGGUUGGGGAUGGACUCGCGGCUUAUCAGCUUGUUGGUGGGGUAGUGGCUUACCAAGGCUUUGACGGGUAGCCGGCCUGAGAGGGUGACCGGCCACAUUGGGACUGAGAUACGGCCCAGACUCCUACGGGAGGCAGCAGUGGGGAAUAUUGCACAAUGGGCGGAAGCCUGAUGCAGCAACGCCGCGUGCGGGAUGACGGCCUUCGGGUUGUAAACCGCUUUCGCCUGUGACGAAGCGUGAGUGACGGUAAUGGGUAAAGAAGCACCGGCUAACUACGUG